GACGUAGGUGGCGAACGUUAUCCGGAAUUAUUGGGCGUAAAGGGUGCGUAGGUGGUCGGGUAAGUCUCAUGUGAAAUCUCCAAGCUUAACUUGGAAAUGGCAUGGGAUACUAUUCGGCUAGAGGAUUGGAGGGGGACUGGAAUUCCCGGUGUAGCAGUGAAAUGCGUAGAUAUCGGGAGGAACACCAGUGGCGAAGGCGAGUCCCUGGACAAUUCCUGACGCUGAGGCACGAAAGCUAGGGAGCAAACAGGAGUUAGAAAACCC
rnacentral:rRNA from 1 species